CGUCUGUCAUUUCUUACCGCGUCUUGCCGUCGUAUGUAAGUGUCCGACAUUGUGGCUUCCAACGCUCCGUUACUCCACAAGCACGUCCAACUGUUGAAUUAUUUAGUGAUUAAUUUACUAGGCCUGUCCUCGGCUGAUGAUCGUUAUCGUUUUCAUCACCUCGUCAUUUUUUACCGUUAAAAGGAUUUUCGGAUUAUCGGAUUGAACAAGUUCAGUUAUGAUCACUGUAUCAUUGGAGUUUUAGAAGUGCAGUAAUUCCUCACCACACGUUUGUUCAUAUCUAUCGUGGAAAUCGCUAACAACCUCAAUCGAUCUCGUCGCCUAUCCCUUCGCUUCAGCCUUGUCGUAGACAGCGAUACUAACAAACCUCAGUUUGGACAAUUUAAAAGCAGAUGAUACAUUUAUACAAUCCAAUACAACUCACCGUUGAAGACUUCCGGAGUCCUUGAAAAUUCACUAGUCAAUCGAUUCCGUUGUUAAUUGAACACAUGUGUGAAUUGGAACGACUGCAACAGGUCUAAAAGCCUUUAUGUUACGGUGAUCACAAUUGUUCUGGUUUAAUCCGAUAGUCGGAUAUUCUUAUAAGGGUUGUGUCAAAUGACGAAGAGAUGAAGACAAUAACAAAUAUCGGCUAAUGACCGGUAUAAUAAAGCAAUGACAACAUGAUCUAUAACAGAACACGCGCGUGUGGAGUAACAGAUUGUUGAUAAGUCUCAAUGUCGGACACGGAUAUGCGAUGGCAAGGCGUGGGAAGAAUGCAGAAUAAACCUCGGUCUGAAACCAUUUACGGAGGCCGACGGACCUGUACGGUCCUUAACGCGACUGACCACUACACAGAUUUUAAUGGAAUAUUUGCUGUGAGUCAAAUUAAGAAGAAAAUCCUACUAUACAGUUCUGUUCUUCAAAAUAAACCAUACCAACAUAAUUCACAAGAAAUUAUGGAAUGAAAUAAUUUGUUCCAUAUCUAACAGCGCAUUGAGAAGUAGGUACGGCAUUAUACAUUUAUUCAAGGCACCUAUUAUUCAUGAAAAAUAGACUGUGACACUCAAGUUUUAUUAAAAACAUUUUAAAGAAAACUGAAUGAUUUUUAACUACUAGCUAUUAAAUCUAUUAUAAACUAAUGAUCACUGAUUAAAUAAGUACAUACCUAAGUAGCCAUACUUUUGUAUUAAAGUAUUCAAACAACUUUUUUUCUAUGUAGCUUAAUACAUUUAUUGUACUCAUACUGUAUAAUUAAAUAUUGAAAUAACAAUAACUUUUUUUUUUACUAUUUAUCAUAAAAUAUUUUUUGUUAACUAUGCCAAGAAUAAUAAUGUAUUUUAGUGACAUUAAACUAUAUACUUAUAUAUUAAUAGGCAUUUGCAUUACAUCCUCAGUUUGUGAAUAUUAUUCAUUUACAGAUUGUUGUCAAACAAAGUGUGUACCUAACCAUAAAAAUAUGUUUUAAUGCUAAGAUUGGAUAAAUAUCAUAUUAUUAAUAAUUAAUGUAAUCUUCAUUUUCUUUUUUACAAAAUACACAAUACAUAAUAUUAUCUGAA